rnacentral:rRNA from 1 species
UAAUACGAAGGGAGCUAGCGUUGUUCGGAAUUACUGGGCGUAAAGGGCGCGUAGGCGGUCUUAUAAGUUUGGUGUGAAAGCCCUGGGCUUAACCUGGGAACUGCAUUGAAUACUGUAAGACUUGAGACCGAGAGAGGGAAAUGGAAUUGCGAGUGUAGAGGUGAAAUUCGUAGAUAUUCGCAAGAACACCAGUGGCGAAGGCGAUUUCCUGGCUCGGUACUGACGCUAAGGCGCGAAAGCGUGGGGAGCAAACAGG